UACGUAGGUGGCGAGCGUUGUUCGGAUUUACUGGGCGUAAAGGGUCCGCAGGGGGCUUUUCAAGUCUGAUGUGAAAUCCCGAAGUUUAACUUCGGAAUUGCAUUGGAAACUGCUAAGCUAGAGCAUCGGAUAGGAGAGUGGAAUUCCAGGUGUAGCGGUGGAAUGCGUAGAUAUCUGGAAGAACACCUAAGGCGAAGGCAGCUCUCUGGACGAUUGCUGACCCUCAGGGACGAAAGUAUGGGGAGCAAACAGGAUUAGAUACCCUGGUAGUCCAUACAGUAAACUUUGUGAACUUGACGUGGGGUCCGCCCCGUGUCGAAGCUAACGCGAUAAGUUCACCGCCUGGGGACUACGGCCGCAAGGCUAAA
rnacentral:rRNA from 1 species